GAGAAAGCCCCUCAAACGUCGGAAUUUCAAUCCGAGUCCCUCACAGUACGACUAAAACACAUGAACGCCCCUCCACGUGCGAUCCCUCGUGAAACGAUACAUAAAAUAUCGCGACUUUCGCGAAAAUACCGUUUUGCCACUACCGACCUCUCCUCGAUCAACACGCGAUCUCCGCAGAUCCGUCCGUCAGAUUUGCGAACGGAUUGCACCAGUGCAAUCAGCACGACGGAGACAACAAAGCUGCGAUUUCGUUUCGUCUUGAUCGACCACGGAUUCACGACAAAAUCCAACCUUCUUCGAAUAGAAGGAAACACACACAUAAAUACAUAUAAAACAU
rnacentral:lncRNA from 1 species